rnacentral:rRNA from 1 species
UACGGGGGGAGCAAGCGUUGUUCGGAUUUACUGGGCGUAAAGGGCGCGUAGGCGGUCGUGACAAGUCACUUGUGAAAUCUCCGGGCUUAACUCGGAACGGUCAAGUGAUACUGUCGGACUAGAGUACAGAAGGGGCAACUGGAAUUCUCGGUGUAGCGGUGAAAUGCGUAGAUAUCGAGAGGAACACCUGCGGCGAAGGCGGCUUACUGGUCCAUUACUGACGCUGAGAUGCGAAAGCGUGGGGAGCAAACAGG